rnacentral:rRNA from 1 species
GACGAACGCUGGCGGCGUGCCUAAUACAUGCAAGUCGAACGCAUUUUCUGUCACCGUAGCUUGCUACACCGACAGAAAAUGAGAGGCGAACGGGAGAGUAACACGUGGGUAACCUGCCCAGCAGCGAAGGGUAACACACGACAACAGAUGCUAAUACCGCUUAAUUCGAUUUACUGCAUGGUAGAGGAAAGAAAGGCGCUUUUGGGUCACUAAUGGCUGGAGAGGCGUUGGAUUAGCUAGUUGGGGGGGUAACGGCCUACCAAGGCUGCGAUGCAUAGCCGGCCUGAGAGGGUGAACGGCCACACUGGGACUGAGACACGGCCCAGACUCCUACGGGAGGCAGCAGUGGGGAAUCUUCGGCAAUGGGCGCAAGUCUGACCGAGCAACGCCGCGUGAGUGAAGAAGGUUUUCGGAUCGUAAAACUCUGUUAUUAGAGAAGAAAAAGGAGGAGGGUAGAAAGUUCCUGCCUUGACGGUAUCUAAACAGAAAGCCACGGCUAACUACGUG